UACGGAGGGGGCUAGCGUUGUUCGGAAUUACUGGGCGUAAAGCGCACGUAGGCGGCUUUGUAAGUUAGAGGUGAAAGCCCAGGGCUUAACCCUGGAAUUGCCUUUAAGACUGCAUCGCUCGAAUUGUGGAGAGGUGAGUGGAAUUCCGAGUGUAGAGGUGAAAUUCGUAGAUAUUCGGAAGAACACCAGUGGCGAAGGCGGCUCACUGGACUGGUAUUGACGCUGAGGUACGAAAGCGUGGGGAGCAAACAGGG
rnacentral:rRNA from 1 species